rnacentral:misc_RNA from 1 species
GAUGAAGAACGUAGCGAAAUGCGAUAAGUAAUGUGAAUUGCAGAAUUCAGUGAAUCAUCGAAUCUUUGAACGCACCUUGCGCCCUUUGGCCAUUCCGAAGGGCAUGCCUGUUUGAGUAUCAUGAACACCUCAACUCUUCAUGGUUUUCCAUGAUGAGCUUGGACUUUGGGGGUCUUGCUGGCCUGUGGGUCGGCUCCUCUCAAAUGAAUCAGCUUGCCGGUUUUUGGUGGGCAUCACAGGUGUGAUAACUAUCUGCGCUUGUGGUUUUCCACCAGGGUAACCUUCAGCAGUGGAGGUUCACUGGAGCUUACAAAUGUCUCUCCUCUGUGAGGACAGCCCUUUGAAUGUUUGAUCUCAAAUCAGGUAGGACUACCCGCUGAACUUAAGCAUAUCAAUAAGCGGAGGA